rnacentral:rRNA from 1 species
CAAACUGAAGAUGGCGACCGGCGCACGGGUGAGUAACACGUAUCCAACCUGCCGAUAACUCCGGAAUAGCCUUUCGAAAGAAAGAUUAAUACCGGAUAGUGUACGAAUAUCGCAUGAUAUUUUUAUUAAAGAAUUUCGGUUAUCGAUGGGGAUGCGUUCCAUUAGUUUGUUGGCGGGGUAACGGCCCACCAAGACUACGAUGGAUAGGGGUUCUGAGAGGAAGGUCCCCCACAUUGGAACUGAGACACGGUCCAA